AACAUUCACUUCCUCUUGCAGAAGAGCAGCUGAAACCAAAGCAGUACUUUGGUCCUCAGCAACUUACAGAACCGUUUUCCACACUAUUAAGCUGUCAUCUCCGGAUGUAGAAAUGUCUUUGUCAUAAAACUCUACAACCAGCAUCCUUGGGAGGGUGAUGACUGGUGAGGCUACGUUCUCUAAAGCAAAGAAAUUGGAGCAUGUCAUCGUAAUACCAUUGUUGACAUUCAAGUACACGCAGACCUCAUUUUAUUGUAUUUCACAGUGUGGUGUUAUAAUAUGUAUUAUGUUUCUGUUUGCAGGUCCUGGUUCAUAACUCCCAUAUCCCUUGUUACAGUUUUUUGGUUUAAUGGUGGGUAUGUUAGGCCUUAGGGGCAGGCCUCAGAAAACAGAAUGUCUCUGAUCUCCUUCUGCUCUCCUUUUACCUGCCCCAAGGUAGGGCUCUAAUCACCACCCCCUACCUUUCUGACUGUAGGUCUUAUGAGCAAUCAGAGGGUCCUUCCCCCCUCUACCCUGGAGGAAGGAAUGCUGAUGUCGCGGAGCUUCCACAAAAACCUAAGAGGACUGGGUUAGCAGAGCUUCCAAAUAGCUGAACAAAUGGAGGUUCCAGGAGAGUCAUGCCCCAGGGAGGUCAAAGAAGCUUCCCCUCCUUCCUUCAUAGAUCGCUCUACGUAUCUCUUCAUCUGUUUCCUUUGCAACAUGCCUUGUAAUAAAUCAGUAAAUAUAAGUAA